rnacentral:rRNA from 1 species
GACGAACGCUGGCGGCGUGCUUAACACAUGCAAGUCGAACGGAAAGACCCUGCUUUUGUGGGGUGCUCGAGUGGCGAACGGGUGAGUAACACGUGAGUAACCUGCCCUUGACUUUGGGAUAACUUCAGGAAACUGGGGCUAAUACCUGAUAGGAGCUCCUGCUGCAUGGUGGGGGUUGGAAAGUUUCGGCGGUUGGGGAUGGACUCGCGGCUUAUCAGCUUGUUGGUGGGGUAGUGGCUUACCAAGGCUUUGACGGGUAGCCGGCCUGAGAGGGUGACCGGCGACAUUGGGACUGAGAUACGGCCCAGAAUCCUACGGGAGGAAGCAGUGGGGAAUAGUGCAAAAUGGGAGGAAGCCUGAUGCAGCAACGCCGCGUGCGGGAUGACGGCCUUCGGGUUGUAAACCGCUUUCGCCUGUGACGAAGAGUGAGUGACGGUAAUGGGUAAAGAAGCACCGGCUAACUACGUG